rnacentral:lncRNA from 1 species
CAAGAAAUAGUAGAAUUUCUACAAAACAAAAGAGCUAUUAUAAUCAAAGUUAUUAUUCAAGAGCUAAUAAGCAGUUAUGAAGAAGGAGGAAAGUGGAUCUACAACAGCAAAAAUAGCACAAUUAUCUACUCAAAUGCCAAGACAACAAAAGACAUAGAAGAACUAGCAAGGUGGAUUACUACCCUUGCAAAUUGGGAAACUACACCAACAACUAAUGC